UGUCACUGAGGCCCACCUGAGCAGGGUUUGUUGGGUGAGCUGAUUGGCUACAGAAGCUGGAACCUGUCCAGAACAAUCCUGACACCCAACCUGCAGGGGUUCAGCUGUGUAUCUGAAGGAGAAAAUUUCCCAGAAACAAGGCAGAGUCAUGAAGGGGCUGGUGCGCCCUGUGCUGGGGCUUCUGUUGGCCCAGGUUUGCUGUGUGAGAGGGAUGGAUGUGGACCAGAGCCCCCCAGUCCUGAGUCUCCAGGAGGGAGCCAGCUCCACGCUCUGGUGCAAUUUUUCCUCUUCCACACGGAGUGUGCAGUGGUAUCGUCUGACCCCAGGAGGCCACCUCAGCCACCUGUUUACCAUUCCUGCAGGGACCCAGAAGAACGGCAGAUUAAAUGCCACGAUAGUCGCUACAGAACGCCGCAGCUCACUGUACAUUUCCUCUGCCCAGACCACAGACUCAGCCACGUACCUCUGUGCUGGGGAGCACAGCGCUCCCCAGGCACCUGCAGCCUGUACAGGAACCCUCCGCGGGGCUCAGCCCCUCCUCCAGCCACCGCCCCACCACGAGGCCCCCACAGGGCAUUCACAUGGCUUUUUGUUCCUCACCUACACUGGUACACAUUUAACCACUGACACUUCUUGGCCCACAGAUUUGGGACUUCGGCCUCUGUCUUCCCUUCUCAAUCUGUAUCUCCUUCUGCACUAG